GUUUUUUGCGGGCCAGCGUCCCAGACUCCAGCCUGCUGGUCUACCUAGAAACUUCAGUUAAUAACUAUCACCGGGGGCUGGGGAUUUAGCUCAUCGGCAAAGUGCCUGCCUGGCAAGCGGAAGGUCCUGAGUUCGAUUCCUGGUGCCGGAAGAAAAACAAAACCUAAAGCAAAAGAACUAUCAUGGUUAGCUUACAGUAGAAGAAUUUAGAACAGGAUGGGAAUGUAGGGUAACUCUAGCAUAACCUGUAAUCCCAGUACUGUGGGAGGCACAAACUGCCCACUUUGGGCAGUUUGGCAAGACCCUAUGUCAAAAUAAUAAAAAGGGCAAGGGAUGUAGCUCAGUGCAAAGGCAUUGCAUUCAAUCCCCAGUACCGAAGAAGGGGCAGAUAACUCUGACAUACGAUCAUACUAACAACUGCAGUAACAACUAAUAAACUACCAUUAAUGGAAAAGCAUUUUUACAAAAACUCUGUGCGAGAUUAGUCCUACUUUACAACUGUACAAACGAAAGUUAUAGGACCAGCCUAGUAUUUCACAAUGAGGGCGGCACCGUUCUGCAUUGUGUGGAAGUACCCCAGGCUUACAGGGACUUUUUAGCAACACUGGCCUGGCAAUGGCGUCACCAUGUCUACUGUCUUUAAAGAAGAGUAAGCUGAGACUCAAAAAGAUGACAAAGUUUGUCCAGGUUCAUGAACGGCAGUCUCCAGGCACAAGUACAGCUUGACGGCAUAACCAAUCUUUCGGGUUAUCAGUAAAAUGAAGAUAAUACCAACAUCAUACUGCUAUAAGAACUAAGUGCCCCAGGCCCCCGCCAAACACGUAACAAGCACUGCACUAUGAAACCGGAAAACAAGAGCUGGGACGCACGAAGGGUGAGGGACACGGAGGCCCCUGCGCCACCGUCGGGAGGCUCUGGGACUGGAAGCCGCCUCUCCGUGAGUUCAAAGGAUACCAACAGGAGCCCACUUGCCUUGGCUUAGUUUGUGUGCCUCUGCUGGGGUGGGACGCAGCCCGACUCCCUACAGACGAUCUCCUUGUCCUUUAGACUCCAGAGUAGUGAUGGCCAACCUACGGCAGGCACCCCGCUGAGGGCCGUACCUUAACACUGAGAGCUUUAAAAGAUGCACUCUCAUUGCUCUGGGGCAACGGUCCUCAGCCAGAAGUGACUUUGCCCCGGGGAUAUUUAACUCUCUGGGGACAUUUCAGUUGUGACCACUGAGGCCUCUGUCACCUAGCACCUGCCGGAGGUGCUGCUAAACACCCCCCACUGCACAGCACAACCCCUACGAGAAGCAUCCCCACUGCAGACAUUCCAGGGUGCAGUCCUGCUCUAGAGCUAAGGAGCUAGUAUCUGGCGUAAUAGGAUUUGGGUGGGACAGGAAAAGGGAGGAGCUGCUUGUCGGAGGGGCUGGGGGCUGUGGAAGCAGCCACCCUGCAACCCACAGAAAGGGCCCCAUGAAAGCUUCUCCCUGAUUAUGAACAGCCAAGAACCCAGGUAUGGU